rnacentral:rRNA from 1 species
AACGCUGGCGGCAGGCUUAACACAUGCAAGUCGAGCGGGGAAAGGUAGCUUGCUACCUAACCUAGCGGCGGACGGGUGAGUAAUGCUUAGGAAUCUGCCUAUUAGUGGGGGACAACAUUCCGAAAGGAAUGCUAAUACCGCAUACGCCCUACGGGGGAAAGCAGGGGAUCUUCGGACCUUGCGCUAAUAGAUGAGCCUAAGUCAGAUUAGCUAGUUGGUGGGGUAGAGGCCUACCAAGGCGACGAUCUGUAGCGGGUCUGAGAGGAUGAUCCGCCACACUGGGACUGAGACACGGCCCAGACUCCUACGGGAGGCAGCAGUGGGGAAUAUUGGACAAUGGGCGAAAGCCUGAUCCAGCCAUGCCGCGUGUGUGAAGAAGGCCUUUUGGUUGUAAAGCACUUUAAGCGAGGAGGAGGCUACUUGGAUUAAUACUCUAGGAUAGUGGACGUUACUCGCAGAAUAAGCACCGGCUAACUCUGUGCCAGCAGCCGCGGUAAUACAGAGGGUGCGAGCGUUAAUCGGAUUUACUGGGCGUAAAGCGUGCGUAGGCGGCUUUUUAAGUCGGAUGUGAAAUCCCUGAGCUUAACUUAGGAAUUGCAUUCGAUACUGGGAAGCUAGAGUAUGGGAGAGGAUGGUAGAAUUCCAGGUGUAGCGGUGAAAUGCGUAGAGAUCUGGAGGAAUACCGAUGGCGAA